rnacentral:tRNA from 1 species
UUAGUUGAAGCCAAAAUAGAGGCUUAUCACUGUUAAUGAUAUAAUUGAAAUCAAAAUUCCAACUAAA